UACACGUUACAUAAUGUUUGUUAUGUUAAGUAACAAGAAGGAUAUAGACGUUAUGUAACAAUAUUUCAUGUUAUGUCUCAACUUUGUAAUAACAUUCUUAAUUAUUUUUCUGCUUUGAUGCACAUUACAACACAUUCUUAUAAAUGUCAUAAACAAUUGUUUCAAAAGUAUGCGUAUUACAAACUCGUUGUCAAAAAAAAAGGCUAUUCAAAAAAGAAAAAGGUAUAAUAUGGUGUGCUGUAUUUGGGUAUUCAAAUUGUUCAAUUGUGAAAAAAUAGUAAAUCUUUCUUUCGUUUACCAAAAAAGUUAAUUGCAACCAAAGGGAAGAUAACAAAAUUUUAUCAAAGGAACAUAAAGAGAAAUAGAUAAAUGCCAUAUACAGAGUUGGUAAUCGUUCUGGCGUCCUUGACACUAAUUUGCAACGACCAUUUUGUAACUGGUGAAAAUUACUUGACUACCUUUGAAUAAUCUUUGUAACUUUGAAAAUGUAACAGUAAUACUUGUUUAGCAUUUUUUUUA